GUAAUUAUUUUGUUCUUUUUUCAUUUUUAGCACUGAAAAGUGAAAACUUUCUUAUUUGGCAUUAAUCAUACUUUUUGUCAAUUCCAUGUUGCAACUCUUGUUUUUAGUACUCUGGUGUUGCUACUCAGUUUUUACAAUUACAAGCUAAACAGCAACAGUAAUCAGAGCUGGGUUUUUUAUUUUUUAUUUUUAUUUUUUAUAAAUAAAUUCUUCGAUUUCUUUUUUUGGGGGGCUUUCUGGUUAAAACGAGUCUGUGUUAAUAGUUUUUCCUACGUUGGAGCUAUAACAUGAAUUUGAUUUUCUUCCUAGAAUAAGCUGAUCGAAUAACUUAGGUUCUUACAAUGGAAAACUCAAAAUUCUCCUUUUUCUGUAAUAAAAUUAUAUAUUUUUGAGGUAAAUUUUGUAGUUCUUUUGCUUGUCUGAUAUUCGGAUGCUUUUUUCUCCAUGUUUUGUUUUGAAAAGACUUAGGCCUUCCUGCGAGGAUGAUACAAACAGAGUUAGAGGCCUUAAUUACUACUAGGAUGAAGCAGUUCAUAUUAUGUCUUGCUAUAUCUUCCUCUCUUUUUUUCUCAUCGUUUUGGAGGAGUAAAGGAGAUAGAGAUUUCACUUAAUCAAGAGGCCUUUAACUGUCUUACUAUAAUCUAUUAAUGCAACGUAUAUAGUCUACCUAAAGAAAAUCAUAUAAAUAGUUUUGAAUCAAUUUAGUUUGUAAUUAACAUAAUCGAGUCCUUCUAAAAUGAUUUUUGGUGCAAUGGAGAAUGUAUGGAAGUAGAUCAAUAAUUGAGGAUGGCUUGCAAAAAUAGAUAAUGAACUAGUGAAGGAUGACGUUAGAGAAUAGUUGGGUAAAGUUCCAACAACUUAAGCUCAAUAGAUUGUCGUAUCUCAAUAAGUAGAAUUUAUUAUUUUUUAAACCUCACUUGAUAUAUCAAAUGUACCCAAAAUCAAAUUAAAAAUUAAAAAAAAAUCAUAAUUUUGAAAGAUGUUUAAUCAUAUUUUAUUAGAUUUUAUAAAUGGUCACCACAGAUUAUAUCCAUUACGGAUAACUCACAAGAUAAUGAUAAGCAGAAUAUUUUGUGUAGUAUAUUGUAUUUAGAUGUUGAUUUUUGUUGAUGAAAUUCUCUUUCAUAUGUUGUAUUACUAGAUAAGCAAAUUUAAUACAAAAGAAAUUUUUAAUUAUUUGAACAAUACAAAGAUCAGUUGGACAUUUUUCUAUAAUUUCUUCGUUUAGAAUCACUUUAUGAUAUCAGAGCCAUCAUGGCCUUACUUGCACAUUUUUAUCUACCUCAACAAAGUAUCUUUACCCAUAAACCCUUAACCUAUCAUAAAAAAAAAAAAAAAUCCUUAACCUAAGGAAGACACAAAUCAUAUGGGUUUAAUUGAAAGUUGGAACCUGGAGAUAUGCUUGGAUUUCUCUAUGGAAGAUUUCUAAUGUCCAAAAGAUUUGUGAUUACCUUAGGGUGUGUUUGGAUACCGCUUAUUUUGUUGAAAGUGAAAAAUUAUUACUAAAAAUACUAUAAAUAAAAGUAAAAGUUAGUUGAAAUAGUAUAGUGAAGCCAUAAAUAGUAGUAAAAAUAAGUUAAAUAGUGAAAUAAUUUUCAUUUUUCAUCCUAACCCAAACGCACACUUAAUUUGCUAAAGCUGCAUACGAGAAACAUUUUGUUGAUAAUAAUGACUUUGCAUUAUGGACAAGGUAAAAUCGCCUACCCCACGGUUGGAUUGCCGGUAUCAUAGCAGAAGAAGUACUUGAGCUAUUUGGUGGACUAAACACUAUCAGCCAAAGGACAAAAACUUUAUAACAGCUCACUCAAUCACAGACAGAUAGAAUGAUGUUUGGUGCAUGUCCUAAUUCUGCAGCUUCACCACAUAUGGCUUCAUACAAUGGUGUCCCCAGGUUUUUAUCCCAGAACUAAUCCUUCGAGGUACCAUCGAGCGCUAAGGCAAGGACCUCUCCCAAGAAAGUUUGCUGCAUCCACAAAGGCCCGAAACCGAGACCACUUACUUAAGCAACCAGAGCCCCUUCCACUUAGGCCACCCUUUGUUGGAGGUAAGGGAGGAAGGGUAACCGGGUAAGGUUUAUGGAAUGCUAAGUGCAAUGAGAAUGGUGGAAGCGCUCUCUACAGAACCAAAUUUUGUCAUGAUGCCAUUGUCUUCGCUAUUGAUAUAACAACACACGGUGUGUACGUAAUACUGAUUCACCUCAGCUUUAUGCGAUGCUAAUACUGCUAACACGUACUCAGACAGGUAAUGAAAUUAGAUGCAAUGAUUGUACGAGUUUCACUUUGGCAAAAUUCAAAAGAAAAAUGAUGAACGGUGACCAAAAUAUAUAUGAAAAUGGUUUUUAUGUUGUGGUUUACCCUCCUGAUUACUAGAUAACGGAGACUAUCCAGGCAGAAUGAAGCUUAAUAUAUUAUGAUAGUUUAAAGUACUACUAAGUGCAUCAAUGCCUCUGUGAUGUCACUGCGCAACAUGGUUGUUGAUUCCAAUGUAUUCUAUUGCAAGAAUUUAUCAAUAUUCACUUGAGAAAAAUUGUCAUUUAAUUAAGAAAGGAAAAUUUUGGUAAACAUCCCUUAACAUACAUAGUACACCAGCUCUCAAAAAAUAUGGGAAAAGUCACAAUUUCCUUUAUUUUUAAAAAGUAUGUAUUAUGUGUGCAAGUGUGUGUAAUAGACAUUUCUCUUAAAAAAAAAGUGUGUGUUUCAUUUUCAUCUUCAAGAAGAUGAUUUCUUUUUCAUCUGUAAUGUGUGUUUCUUUUACAUUCUUGUUUCUCUUAUUUUACUUUUUGAAAAUUUAGCUUCAAUGAAAAGGCAAAUAAUUUAAUUGAUAAUUCUAUUUAUGUCAAACUAUCUUUUUGGCAAGUAUGCAUGUCAAAUUAUCAUUCCGCCUUUUGUUAUAAAUGGUGGCUUAUUUUAUAAAUUAGAAUGUAAUAUUGAUCUUUAGUAUAGAGGAGCAAGUGGAGUGCAUAUAGAAAUGAUAUAUAGGCUUCCAAUAAUACAUACCUAGGGUCCAACUUGUGAUCUUAUGAAUGGGACAUGCUAAUAUGGAGCCUACUAAUAAUUGGAAUCGAAGAUCUACCAAGUCCCGUCAUUUAAUAAUUAGGAUUUUUUUUAAUGCAUUUUGUUGUUUUCUAUUUAAGCACAAUUCUCAAUUUUGUAAAACAACUUUGGGAUUGGUAAUAUAUUUUUAUUUUUUAGUUUUACAACUAGUGUUGACUUUAAUCACGCUUGGUGCUAACUCCUAGCAACCCUAACUGUUUACUCCUAGCAACCCUAGCUGUUUACUCCUAAGUUUUAUCCCUUAUUUCUCUGCUGGUUAUUUUUCAUUCACAUUAUUUUGGUUGUCUUGCGUCCAGAUAAUGAGUGGUAUAUUGAGAAUUCCAAUGUACCAGGUUAUGAGGUUUUGACCAAGUAUGUACAUGUUGCAAAGUUUGUAACAUGUACAUAUAGAAAAAAUUUCCAUCCCUUGUGGGGAUAUGUAGGUAAUACUCUCUGUUGAUUUUCUCUCGCUCUAUCUUUAUUUUUCAUUAAAUUGCUUAAAUUGACAAUCUUUUUUCUUUUUUUCUCUUGUUUGUAGGUUUUGGUUUUUGCUAAAUUUCCCCUAACUUCCAUCAUAUGCUAGGAGUUGUGUCAGUGGGAAAAAGUAAAAAACCAUCAAGUUCAGAAUUCAGGAAUUGCCAGAAAAGAAUGAGUCUGACCGCUGAUCCAAAUGGUCGCAUGGGCAUGUGUAUCUAAACCUCCAACAUAUAGUAUUUACUCACAUAAUUGUUUUUCACACUAUAGGGCAGGUAAUUUUUUUUUUUUUUUGGGAGAAAUUACAUGUGAUUUUUAUUCUUUUGAAAGAGUUUCAACUUA